CCCGCUCAGAAACUCAAAUGAAUUGACGGGGCCCGCGACAAGCGGAGGAGCAUGUGGUUAAUUCGAUGAUACGCGAGGAACCUUACCUGGGCUCGAACGUAAGAUGACUGUAGGUGAAAGCUUACAUCUCUUCGGAGCAUUUUACGAGGUGCUGCAUGGUUGUCGUCAGCUCGUGCCGUGAGGUGUCGGGUUAAGUCCCAUAACGAGCGCAACCCCUACCUUUAGUUGCCAUCAGGUAAUGCUGGGGACUCUAAAGGAACUGCCUACGCAAGUAGUGAGGAAGGCGGGGAUGACGUCAAAUCAGCACGGCCCUUACGUCCAGGGCUACACACGUGCUACAAUGGCCGAUACAGAGGGCAGCUACCUGGUGACAGGAUGCAAAUCUCCAAAGUCGGUCUCAGUUCGGAUCGGAGUCUGCAACCCGACUCCGUGAAGUUGGAUUCGCUAGUAAUCGCGCAUCAGCCAUGGCGCGGUGAAUACGUUCCCGGGCCUU
rnacentral:rRNA from 1 species